rnacentral:rRNA from 1 species
UACGUAGGGCGCAAGCGUUAUCCGGAAUUAUUGGGCGUAAAGAGCGUGUAGGCGGUCCGGUAAGUCGGCUGUGAAAGUCCAGGGCUCAACCCUGGGAUGCCGGUCGAUACUGCCGGACUAGAGUUCGGAAGAGGCGAGUGGAAUUCCCGGUGUAGCGGUGAAAUGCGCAGAUAUCGGGAGGAACACCUAUGGCGAAGGCAGCUCGCUGGGACGUUACUGACGCUGAGACGCGAAAGCGUGGGGAGCGAACAGG